rnacentral:rRNA from 1 species
CCUACGGGGGGCAGCAGUGGGGAAUAUUGCACAAUGGGGGAAACCCUGAUGCAGCAACGCCGCGUGAGUGAGGAAGUAUUUCGGUAUGUAAAGCUCUAUCAGCAGGGAAUAGAAAAGAAGGUAGCUGAAAAAGAAGCACCGGCUAACUACGUGCCAGCAGCCGCGGUAAUACGGAGGGGGCAAGCGUUAUCCGGAUUUACUGGGUGUAAAGGGAGCGUAGACGGUAAGGCAAGUCAGAAGUGAAAACCCAAGGCUCAACCAUGGGACUGCGUUUGAAACUGUCAAACUCGAGUACGGAAGAGGUAAGAGGAAUUCCUAGUGUAGCGGUGAAAUGCGUAGAUAUUAGGAAGAACACCAGUGGCGAAGGCGUCUUACUGGACCGAAACUGACGUUGAGGCUCGAAAGCGUGGGGAGCGAACAGGAUUAGAUACCCGAGUAGUC